GAUGAACGCUGGCGGCGUGCCUAAUACAUGCCAGUCGAGCGAACAGACGAGGAGCUUGCUCCUCUGACGUUAGCGGCGGACGGGUGAGUAACACGUGGAUAACCUACCUAUAAGACUGGGAUAACUUCGGGAAACCGGAGCUAAUACCGGAUAAUAUAUUGAACCGCAUGGUUCAAUAGUGAAUGACGGUUUUGCUGUCACUUAUAGAUGGAUCCGCGCCGCAUUAGCUAGUUGGUAAGGUAACGGCUUACCAAGGCAACGAUGCGUAGCCGACCUGAGAGGGUGAUCGGCCACACUGGAACUGAGACACGGUCCAGACUCCUACGGGAGGCAGCAGUAGGGAAUCUUCCGCAAUGGGCGCAAGCCUGACGGAGCAACGCCGCGUGAGUGAUGAAGGUCUUCGGAUCGUAAAACUCUGUUAUUAGGGAAGAACAAAUGUGUAAGUAACUAUGCACGUCUUGACGGUACCUAAUCAGAAAGCAACGGCUAACUACGUG
rnacentral:rRNA from 1 species